CAGAUUGACAAACAUGACCAACAUUUGUCAAUUCUGUUUUCAAAAUGCCUCUUGAAGGAUCUUAUCACCUUUGGGGAGAUGUGGCAGACCCCUCAAAGUGAAUUUGGAGGUUCUAUACCA
ensembl:snoRNA